rnacentral:rRNA from 1 species
GGUUCGAUUCUGGCUCAGAUUGAACGCUGGCGGGAUGCUUUACACAUACAGUCGAACGGCAGCACGGACUUCGGUCUGGUGGCGGUGGCGAACGGGUGAGUAAUGUAUCGGUGUAUAGUAGCGAAGGAUAACUGCGCGGCGUAGCUAAUACCGCAUACGCCCUUCGGGGGAAAGCGGGGGACCUUCGGGCCUCGCACUAUUGAAGCGGCCGAUAUCGGAUUAGCUAGUUGGUGGGGUAACGGCUCACCAAGGCGGCAAUCCGUAGCUGGUUUGAAGGACGACCAGCCACACUGGGACUGAGAUUACGGCCCAGACUCCUGCAGAGCAGUGGGAAUUUUGGACAAUCAGGGAAACCUGAUCCGACCAUCCCGUGCGAUAUGAAGGCCUUCGGGUUGUAAAGCACUUUGGCAGAAGAAACGGCACGGGAUAAUACCCCGUGCAACUGACAAUACCUGCAGAAUAAGCACCGGCUAACUACGUGCCAGCAGCCGCGAAGUAUGCAGCGGGUGCAAGCGUUAAUCAGGUCAUUACUGGGCGUAAAGCGUGCGCAGGCGGUUCGGAAAAGAAAGAUGUAGAAAUCCAGAGCUUAACUUUGGAACUGCAUUUUUAACUACCGAGCUAGAAGUGUCAGGGAGGUGCGAUUCCGCGUGUAGCAGUGAAAUGCGUAGAUAUGCGGAGAACACCGAUGGCGAAGGCGACCUCCUGGGAUAACACUGACGCUCAUGCACGAAAAAGCGUGGGAGCAAGCAAGUUAGAUACCUGGUGGUCCACGCCCUAAACGAUGUCAACUAGCUGUUGGGGCCUUCGGGCCUUGGUAGCGCAACUAACGCGUGAAGUUGACCGCCUGGGGAGUACGGUGCGGGAAUUCAAAGCUCAAAGGAAUUGACGGGGACGCUGGCAGUGGAUGAUGUGGAUUAAUUCAGUGCAACGCGAAAACCUUACCCUGCCCUUGACAUGUGGAAUCCCGAAAGAGAUUUGGGAGUGCUCGCAAGAGAACCGGAACACAGGUGCUGCAUGGCUGUCGUCAGCUCGUGUGUGAGAUGUUGGGUUAAGUCCCGCAACGAGCGCAACCCUUGUCAUUAGUUGCUACGAAAGAGGGCACUCUAAUGGGUACGCAGUGACAAACCAGGAGGAAGGGGUGGGGAUGACGUCAAGUCCUCGCUGGCCUGCGGUAGGGCUUCCCCCGUCAUACAAUGGUCAGAGGUUGGUCGCGGCUUAGAGAGACCGUCCGAAACCCGAUCGUAGUCCGGAUCGCAGUCUGCAACUCGACUGCGUGAAGUCGAAUCUCUGCUGGUAAUCAUGGCGGAUCAUGUCGCGGUGAAUACGUUCGGGUCUUGUACACACACCAUUUCAUCAGGAGUGGUUUUACCAGGAAGUAGUUAGCCUAACCAAUGGGGAGGGCGAUUACCACGGUAGGAUGAUUCCAUGUUUGGGAUGAAGUCGUAUUAGAUAGCCCUGUUGCUUGAA